rnacentral:rRNA from 1 species
GUCCACGCCGUAAACGAUGUCUACUAGUUGUCGGGACUCUUGCAGUCUUGGUAACGCAGCUAACGCGAUAAGUAGACCGCCUGGGGAGUACGGCCGCAAGGUUAAAACUCAAAUGAAUUGACGGGGGCCCGCACAAGCGGUGGAGCAUGUGGUUUAAUUCGAAGCAACGCGAAGAACCUUACCUGGCCUUGACAUACUGUGAACUUUCCAGAGAUGGAUUGGUGCCUUCGGGAACACAGAUACAGGUGCUGCAUGGCU